UACGAAGGGGGCUAGCGUUGUUCGGAUUUACUGGGCGUAAAGCGCACGUAGGCGGAUCUUUAAGUCAGAGGUGAAAUCCCAAGGCUCAACCUUGGAACUGCCUUUGAUACUGGAGAGCUUGAGUCCGGGAGAGGUGAGUGGAACUCCGAGUGUAGAGGUGAAAUUCGUAGAUAUUCGGAAGAACACCAGUGGCGAAGGCGGCUCACUGGCCCGGUACUGACGCUGAUGUGCGAAAGCGUGGGGAGCAAACAGG
rnacentral:rRNA from 1 species